CGGGUUUUUUCAAAUUAGCUCAUAAUUAAUCGAGUUGCAUGCAAGCUGAUCCAAACAAUUAUACAUUGCAUCAAAAUACAUCUUGGAAAGAAAAAUGGAGUGAUGAAAUGAAAAGUACCUAAACAACGUCACUCCUUAUUGAGGACUUUGGGAACUUUGAUGUAAGGGUCCUCAAAGCUUGGCACAGCAGAAAUCAAUUCUUCUCUAUUCUCAAACUUCUCCGGUACGUCUCCACGCAAAUUAUCUCCUUCAGUAUUUGCUCUAAUCGCUGGCUCAAUACUCUGUAAAUCAACAGCUUGAAGUUGUCCAAACCAAUCUACAACUUGUCUAAUUUUGGGAG
rnacentral:misc_RNA from 1 species